AAAGACAAAGGUCUUGUGCCAUUGCAUAUCAUCACUAGGACAUGUUAGUCCAUAAUCUACAGGAAGUGUAGUGUGAUUGAGUAUGCAAUGAGAGAUGGCCAUUGCAUAAUACCAUUGGACAUAUCUAGUCCUUAGUCUACAGGAAGUGUAGCAUGGGUCAUUAUGCAAUGAGAGGUGUGUCUUGUGAGACUCUCUAUGGUGAUUCAAACACCCUAGUUCCUGGUUAAGGAAGAGAGUAAACUCACAAGAAGAAAGCUAUCAUGAAAGAUGAUAAUUAUUAGACCAUGGAGAUGCAUAGGAUCAUCACAAGCUUAGCUCCUUCUAGUCUCGGUUCUAAGCUUGAGGGGGAGUCUUAAUGCAUAUGAUCCAUGGUCAGUAACAAGUCUUUUGCAAAAGCUUCUACAAGGAUCAUCAACCGGACCAAGUCAGUGGCGUGUCUAGGCAAGAGGCUGUUCAGAGCAGCCUUGGCGAGUGAGGAGGAAGGCUCUCCAUCAAUGCGGCUUCAAUGAGAGGUGAUUGAGGAGAAGCUGAUGAAUCCAUUCUGCCUUUCCAAGAAGUUGAUGAUGCCAUGAAGAUGAUGCAUUGGCCGAGUUUGGAAACUCACAAAAACACAAGGGAAGUUCCCUUAGACUUUUAAAACUCUUUUCAAUCUUUUUCAUUCAUCUUAUUCAUUACUUGUGCUUGAAAAGAUACUUAAGAUGAUUAUGAUUGAAUUGUGAGAUUGUGUGCAUCGAGUGUGAUGCAGGAUAUUCAUUUUGAAUUGUGAGAUUGUUUGCAUCAAAUGUGAUGCAGGAUAUUCAUUUUCUUGUUUUUUGAUAGGUACUGAUGCACCUUUGGGAUAAUGUAUCAGGUACCAUUGCUUGAGCCUCACUAAAGAUGUUCCUGGUCAGUUCCUAGCUUCUCUAAGAUGGCUGAGAAGUCUGUUGAGAGGGGGAGAUCCAAACCAGUUCUAUGAAGAGGGCAAGCCGUGUGUGAAGUAUUGAUCAGCCUCACUGGUGUUUUGAAGAUGAUCUGGUCGUGUCCUAGCUUCUCUAAGAUGGCUGUGAAGUCAGUUGAGAGGGG
rnacentral:lncRNA from 1 species